rnacentral:rRNA from 1 species
UAAAUUAAAAAAAUGUAAAUACUAUAACACGAAGUUGAAUGAGCUAAUUAUUGUAUACUAGUAGGAGAUCGAUGUCGCAAAAUCAAAUUAAACCAUAAUUAGGGGUGAUAGGCUUGCCAAAUUCAACGAUAACUUGAUGGUUUAGAAAUGUAUAAGUACGUUUACACUCUUGGAGUGAUAAGGUUUCAAGAAUAAAUAAAAUUUUAAGUAGAGUGUGUAUCUAAUUUAAUCAUAAAUACGGUAAUAUAAUAAUAUAAUGCUGAAAAAAUUGUUUAAAGUAUAAGCCGAUGUCGUGAAUUUUUGAAAUAGUCAUAAUGUUUAUAUUAGUAAAAUAAAGAUAUUUAUAAUGAACUCGGCAACAAGUCUUUCAACUGUUUAUCAAAAACAUAGCUAUAUGAAUAAAUAUAUAUAGUAUUUUCUGCUCAAUGAAUAAUUAAAUAGCCGCAGUACCCUGACUGUGCUAAGGUAGCGCAAUCAAUUGACUUUUAAAUGAAGUCCCGUAUGAAUGAAAAUAUGAAGGGCUACUCUAUCAUAAAUAAUUAAUGAAUUUGCUCAAGGAGUGAAAAUUCUCCUAUAUAAAUAAAAGACGAGAAGACCCUAGAAAUUUAAAGAAAUCACUUUUUGUUGGGGCAACAAAGUAGCUUUUAAUCUACUGUUAUGACACGAAAUCAGUUUUUUGUAAGAUAAAAUUACUCUAGGGAUAACAGCAUAAUUUGAAAAAGUUUGUGACCUCGAUGUUGGAUUAGGGAAUUUACGUUUAGAAG